UACGAAGGGGGCUAGCGUUGUUCGGAUUUAUUGGGCGUAAAGCGUACGUAGGCGGCUGCCUAAGUCUGGUGUUAAAGCUAGAGGCUCAACCUCUGUGAUGCACUGGAAACUGGGCGGCUUGAGAGCGGUAGGGGAAGGUGGAAUUCCGAGUGUAGCGGUGAAAUGCGUAGAUAUUCGGAAGAACACCGGUGGCGAAGGCGACCUUCUGGGCCGUUUCUGACGCUGAGGUACGAAAGCGUGGGGAGCAAACAGG
rnacentral:rRNA from 1 species